rnacentral:rRNA from 1 species
UCCGGAAUUAUUGGGCGUAAAGCGUUCGUAGGUGGUUUAUUAAGUCUGAAGUUAAAGCCCGGGGCUCAACCCCGGCCCGCUUUGGAUACUGAUAGACUAGAGUUAUAGAGAGGCAGGUGGAACUCCAUGUGAAGCGGUGGAAUGCGUAGAUAUGUGGAAGAACACCAAUGGCGAAGGCAGCCUGCUGGCUAUACACUGACACUGAGGGACGAAAGCGUGGGGAGCAAACAGGAUUAGAUACCCUGGUAGUCCACGCCGUAAACGAUGUUCGCUAGCUGGUGGAGUAUUCACUGGCGCAGCUAACGCAUUAAGCGAACCGCCUGAGUAGUAUGCGCGCAAGCGUGAAACUUAAAGGAAUUGACGGGGACCCGCACAAGCGGUGGAGCAUGUGGUUUAAUUUGAAGAUACGCGGAGAACCUUACCCUCUCUUGACAUCCCCUGCAAAGGCAUAGAGAUAUGUUGGAGGCUAACAGGGUGACAGAUGGUGCAUGGUUGUCGUCAGCUCGUGUCGUGAGAUGUUCGGUUAAGUCCGGCAACGAGCGCAACCCCUAUCCUUAGUUACUAACAUUAAGUUGAGGACUCUAGGGAGACUGCCUGGGUAACCAGGAGGAAGGUGGGGACGACGUCAAAUCAUCAUGCCUCUUACGAGAGGGGCUACACACGUGCUACAAUGGCAGGUACAAUGGGAUGCGAUCCGGCAACGGUCAGCUAACCUCAAAAAACCUGUCUCAGUUCGGAUCGAAGUCUGCAACUCGACUUCGUGAAGUUGGAAUCGCUAGUAAUGGUAGGUCAGCAAUACUACCGUGAAUACGUUCUCGGGUCUUGUACACACCGCCCGUCACACCAUGGGAGUUGGUAAUGCCCGAAGCUGGAUAGUUAACUUCGGAUGCUACUGUCUAAGGCAGGACCGAUGACUAGGGUGAAGUCGUAACAAGGUAAC